rnacentral:tRNA from 1 species
CAGGGAGACAACAAAAUGUUUAAUAUUAUUAUUUUGUCACCUUAGGUCGAUCGGUAUCUCGCGUUCUUAAUUAAUUAAGAAUUUCAUUUCCUAAGUUUUUCUAGGUCACACCCAUAUUUUUCCUGGGCCAUUAGCUCAGGUGGUUAGAGCGCACCCCUGAUAAGGGUGAGGUCCCUGGUUCAAGUCCAGGAUGGCCCAUAUCUCUAUGUUGGGGGUAUAGCUCAGUUGGUAGCGCCUGCUUUGCAAGCAGGAUGUCAGCGGUUCGAGUCCGCUUACCUCCACUGAUUACCACCUCUUCCAUAAUCUGUAAAAGGAAAAUUUUUGAGUUGUGAUCAUCCUGAACGAAUCUAGCUUCCUAAUGAAAUCAUUAAGAUGCUGGACUCAUUGAAUUAAUUUCAUUGUUUUCAGAGAACCUUGACAACUGCAUAGAUUAUUUUUAAAGACAAUAAGCAUCUUUAAUGAUGCAGAUUUAUUAUUUGUGCAAAUGCAUUAAUAACAAUUCUAUUAAGCUGAUGCUUCA